rnacentral:misc_RNA from 1 species
GAUGAAGAACGCAGCAAAAUGCGAUAAGUAAUGCGAAUUGCAGAAUUUCCGUGAGUCAUCGAAUCUUUGAACGCACAUUGCGCCCACUGGUAUUCCGGUGGGCAUGCCUGUUCGAGCGUCAUUAUCCUCCCUCAAACCCCGGGUUUGGUGUUGGACCCAAGUUGUGUGAACAACUGGUCUUAAAGACAAUGAUGGCGUCCGUGGGACCCUCGGUGCAACGAGCUUUUAGGAGCACGCAUCGAGUUGCAAGGACCUUCCGGGCCGGUCUCCUUUACUAUUUUACAAGGUUGACCUCGGAUCAGGUAGGAAUACCCGCUGAACUUAAGCAUAUCAAUAAGCGGAGGA